rfam:Burkholderiales bacterium YL45, complete genome.
GCCCGUUUAGCUCAGUGGUAGAGCAACCGCCUUGUAAGCGGUAGGUCGUCUGUUCAAAUCAGUCAACGGGCA